rnacentral:rRNA from 1 species
UACGGAGGGAGCUAGCGUUAUUCGGAAUUACUGGGCGUAAAGCGCACGUAGGCGGCUUGGCAAGUCAGGCGUGAAAUUCCUGGGCUCAACCUGGGGGCUGCGCUUGAGACUGCUGGGCUUGAGGAUGGAAGAGGCUCGUGGAAUUCCCAGUGUAGAGGUGAAAUUCGUAGAUAUUGGGAAGAACACCGGUGGCGAAGGCGGCGAGCUGGUCCAUUACUGACGCUGAGGCGCGACAGCGUGGGGAGCAAACAGG